rnacentral:lncRNA from 1 species
GAAACAGACCAGAGUACACCAGGAACCAUCCACUCACCAAGUGUAGGAACGGAGGCUGAGGCAAGAGGAGACCACAUACAACACAAAACACUUUAAAACCUCCCUCCUCAGUGUGCAGUUGCCCAGACCGAGCUCAGACUUGGAACCCUCCUGCCCCAGCCUCCCAGAGUACGGGGAUUACAGACAAUCUAUGAUGGAAGAGAAGAAGCAGGCUGUCUUUUGACCCAGGGGAGGCUCCCUUACCUUCCAAGGUGGUUUCAUCCAUAUCCUGGAAAGAAAAGUCCAGGACAGAGGGCCAUUCGUUGUACAUCAUCUGCAAGAUGUGCAGAAACACAAAAGACUCCCGGAGCCAGCAGCUGAGGCAGAUCAAGGUGGACAUCAGCGCCCAAGCCCAGGAUCCCAGCCGCCUCCAAGUCCUGCCGGCCCAGAGACACUGGAUCCCAGGAGCCCCGCGGGUGCAGUCACGCAGUACAGCCGCGCGGGGGCAGCAGACACCGGGGCGAGGCGGUGUGGAGUUUUCACUGCGUUUUGUUCUCUUGCCCUGCAAGGCCAGCUUCCCCGCGCAGCAGAGCUGGGUGCAUGUGAGGGGCGCUCCUGUGCAGUGCCCAAAGGUCAGAUUCGGACACCCAGGCCGUCAGAGAUCUGCAAAAGGCGGGAUGAAACGUGACCCGAGCGAUCACGAAGACACCACAAAGACACGCGGGGGCAGCUGCAGGCUGGAGAGGAGGAGGAGGUGGAGGAGGAGCUCUCCUGUAAUGCUGUGUGGCCUGUGA